AGUGAACGCUGGCGGUAGGCCUAACACAUGCAAGUCGAACGGCAGCACAGUAAGAGCUUGCUCUUACGGGUGGCGAGUGGCGGACGGGUGAGGAAUACAUCGGAAUCUACUUUUUCGUGGGGGAUAACGGAGGGAAACUUACGCUAAUACCGCAUACGACCUACGGGGGAAAGCAGGGGAUCUUCUGACCUUGCGCGAUUGAAUGAGCCGAUGUCGGAUUAGAUAGUUGGCGGGGUAAAGGCCCACGAAGUCGACGAUCCGUAGCUGGUCUGAGUGGAUGAUCAGCCACACUGGAACUGAGACACGGUCCAGACUCCUACGGGAGGCAGCAGUGGGGAAUAUUGGACAAUGGGCGCAAGCCUGAUCCAGCCAUACCGCGUGGGUGAAGAAGGCCUUCGGGUUGUAAAGCCCUUUUGUUGGGAAAGAAAAGCAGCAGGUUAAUACCCCGCUGUUCUGACGGUACCCAAAGAAUAAGCACCGGCUAACUUCGUG
rnacentral:rRNA from 1 species